rnacentral:rRNA from 1 species
AAGAGAAGCUACCUCGCGAGAGCAAGCGGACCUCAUAAAGUAUGUCGUAGUCCGGAUUGGAGUCUGCAACUCGACUCCAUGAAGUCGGAAUCGCUAGUAAUCGUAGAUCAGAAUGCUACGGUGAAUACGUUCCCGGGCCUUGUACACACCGCCCGUCACACCAUGGGAGUGGGUUGCAAAAGAAGUAGGUAGCUUAACCUUCGGGAGGGCGCUUACCACUUUGUGAUUCAUGACUGGGGUGAAGUCGUAACAAGGUAACCGUAGGGGAACCUGCGGUUGGAUCACCUCCUUA